rnacentral:rRNA from 1 species
GUAGGGAAUCUUCCACAAUGGACGCAAGUCUGAUGGAGCAACGCCGCGUGAGUGAAGAAGGUCUUCGGAUCGUAAAGCUCUGUUGUUGGUGAAGAAGGAUAGAGGCAGUAACUGGUCUUUAUUUGACGGUAAUCAACCAGAAAGUCACGGCUAACUACGUGCCAGCAGCCGCGGUAAUACGUAGGUGGCAAGCGUUGUCCGGAUUUAUUGGGCGUAAAGCGAGCGCAGGCGGAAUGAUAAGUCUGAUG